AGGCAAUGGCGAGGACAUCUUCUCAAUAACUCAUUGAAUCUCUCCCAAGCAUCAUUGAGAGACUCAUUGUCUUGAUGGACAAAUGAUGUGAUUUCUUUUCUCAUCUC